UACGUAGGUGGCAAGCGUUGUCCGGAUUUAUUGGGCGUAAAGGGUGCGUAGGCGGCAUUUUAAGUCAGUGGUGAAAUACGGCAGCUCAACUGUCGAGGUGCCAUUGAUACUGGGAUGCUUGAGUACUGAUGAGGUAGGCGGAAUGGACGGUGUAGCGGUGAAAUGCUUAGAUAUCGUCCAGAACACCGAUAGCGAAGGCAGCUUACUAAGGAGUAACUGACGCUGAUGCACGAAAGUGUGGGGAUCAAACAGG
rnacentral:rRNA from 1 species